ACGGAGGGUGCAAGCGUUGUUCGGAAUUACUGGGCGUAAAGCGCGUGUAGGCGGCCUUUUAAGUCUGAUGUGAAAGCCCGAGGCUCACCCUCGGAAGUGCAUUGGAUACUGGGAGGCUGGAGUACCGGAGAGGAGGGUGGAAUUCCUGGUGUAGCGGUGAAAUGCGUAGAUAUCAGGAGGAACACCAGUGGCGAAGGCGGCCCUCUGGACGGAUACUGACGCUGAGACGCGACAGCGUGGGGAGCAAACAGG
rnacentral:rRNA from 1 species